rnacentral:lncRNA from 10 species
AAGCCAUCAUGCUGCAAUCUUCCAUCCUUGCCAGCUGAAAGGAAGUAAGGACCUGUGCGGCAUGGAACUGCAGGCGACCCACGUCCCACAACUGCAGGGAAAUGAAUUCUGCCCAUGACCUGAGGGAGCCUGGAAACACUCUUCCUCAGUCGAGCCUCUGAUGAGACCACAGCCCUGGCGCCCACCUGGACAGCAGCCUGGUGAGAGCCUGAAGCACAGAAACCAGCUAGGCUGUGCCCGGGCUCCUGAGCCACGGAACUGGCCGUGCUUCCCCAAACAAGAUCUGGGACUCUCGCGCCUACUGAGAUGGACAGAGAGCUUCACAGGUGUCAACAGUUUCAAGAACCUUGGCCAGCCUCAGCCAACAGCCAACCAGGCAGGCUGGGCGAGCCCAGAGGUUCCCGGAAACCAGAAACUAGGGCAGAAACACCCAGCAACUCAGUCGCUUUUCUAAAACAGAGCUACCAAUAAAUAUAUAAAUCACUGUCAUGAGCCAUAGAAAGGGAAAGCUUUUAUAAAUUAAAGCAUCCAAAUAUUAAGCCAAUAUUACUUAGGAUUGCAUUUAUCAUUGCUACAGAAAAAAACUGUAUGUAAAUAAAUGUGAAUGCAUACAAGGUAAUUGAGUGUCCUAUGUUAAUAUAAGGGUAGCCCAUAUUUUUUCUGAAAUGAAACGACAUUGAAAACGUACCUACCAAAAAAAUGUGGUGGGUGUGUGUGUGUGUGUGUGUGUGUGUGUGUGUGUGUGAUGUUUAUCUAGGUCAACAUUAGAUUUUUACCCAAUAUCUGUGUACACCAAGGCCCAGCAGGGCAGGGUGGUUACACAGUGUAUGUAGCAAGACAAGCCAUAGCCACUGUGAGAAUGACUGCCCAAGAGGAAGGAGAGCAUUAAAUCUCCUUAGACAAGUACCGACAGGUACUGGAAAUGCUGUUUCCACAGUGGCCACCCAAGACAUUCUCUCCCUAAUCCUAACCAAGGAAUAAGAAGCAAAUUAAAGGCCAGGCACAGUGGCUGACGCCUAUAAUCCCAGCACUUUGGGAGGCUGAGGUGGGCGUAUCGCUUGUGGUCAG